GACGAACGCUGGCGGCGUGCUUAACACAUGCAAGUCGAACGCUGAAGCGGCUUCCUUCUUGGCGGGUGUGGUUGAGUGGCGAACGGGUGCGUAACACGUGCGUAACUUGCCGCCUUCUUCUGGAUAUCCGCAUGAAAGCGUGGCUAAUACGGGAUAUUCUGGUUCUGUCGCUUGAUGGAUCUGGGGCAAUUGCUGCUUUACUAGGUGGUGGGCCCGCGGCCUAUCAGCUUGUUGGUGGGGCGAUGGCCUACCAAGGCGGUGACGGGUAGCCGGCGUGAGAGGGUGGACGGUCACACUGGGAGUGAGACACGGCACAGACUCGUACGGGAGGAAGCAGUGAGGAAUAGCGCACGAUGGGCGCAAGACUGAUGCAGCGACGCCGCGUGAAGGAUGGAGGCCGUCGGGUUGGGAACCUCUUUCGAGAGUGAAGCAGGCCAGAGUCGAUUGUGCGUGGUUUGACGGUAGCUGAACAAGAAGCGACGGCUAACUACGUG
rnacentral:rRNA from 1 species